UACUUUGAAGAACAUUUAUUUGCUGGAGUUUCACCCUCCUCUUGGUCUGGUGUGCUUGAUCCCCAAAGCUCUUGAGUAUAUCUACCAGGAAUUCUACAGCAUCUGCAGACCAAAAACAGCCAGUAAAGCAAGUAAUCUAGAAAAACAAGUGCUUCAGCUAGUAGUUGAUGAGUGGCUAACUAUGGAAAAAACAGAAACUUUUUACAGUUCUCAUAUUCAAAUAGAUGUUAUAUAAGGCUUUUGCAAUGGAAGCAGGUUUUGGUGAGUUCCAUUUGUACCUGAGGCCUGUGCUCUUCAAAUCUGCUUCUCACAGGGAGAAAGCAGAGCACCUCCCACCAAUGUUCAUUACAUCUCUCCUGGAAGAUGACAGCUGUGUUGACAGAUCAAUGUUUAGGAGGAAGAAAGGAAACAACUUGUGAAUUCUCUUAUUAGAUUCAGGGAGGACAUCCCGUCAGUCGUUCACUAUGGCUAAUGUGGGCAGCAUGGCUCCCUUCUGACUUGUACGUAUACCACCUGCAGUCCCAUGCUGUUGUUUGCAUCCUAUUCACUUGCAUACACCCAAGCCUGCUGUGAAAAUUGGGCUGUACCAAACAAGUUUAGCAAUUGCAAGCAACCUGGAAUGAAGCUUCAGCUGCUAAUGGAAUUGGGGCAGUGAUGGACAUCAGAGCCCAGAAGACAGUACAGCAGCACAAA